rnacentral:tRNA from 2 species
GGAGGUAGUUAGUAGCCUGGUGGCGCUCACGGUCUUCAAAACCGAUGGGGGGCGUUCACGUCCCCGGUGGGUUCGAUUCCCAUCUACCUCCGCCA